UGCCAGCCGCCGCGGUAAUACGGAGACCUCGAGCGUUACUCGGAUUCACUGGGCGUAAAGGGUGAGUAGGUGGCCAAGUAUGUCAGGUGCGAAAUCCCGGGGCUUAACCCCGGAACUGCGCCUGAAACUACUUGGCUAGAGUCUCGGAGAGGAUAGUGGAAUUCCUAGUGUAGCGGUGAAAUGCGUAGAUAUUAGAAAGAACACCGGUGGCGAAAGCGCUCUACUGGGCCAUUACUGACACUCAGAGGCGAAAGCUAGGGUAGCAAAAGGGAUUAGAUA
rnacentral:rRNA from 1 species